rnacentral:rRNA from 1 species
UUCGGGAGCAGACUACAGGAUUCCCCUAGUAACUGCGAGUGAAGCGGGAAAAGCUCAAAUUUAAAAUCUGGCAGUCUUUGGCUGUCCGAGUUGUAAUCUAGAGAAGUGUUAUCCGCGCUGGACCGUGUACAAGUCUCCUGGAAUGGAGCGUCAUAGAGGGUGAGAAUCCCGUCUUUGACACGGACUGCCAGGGCUUUGUGAUGCGCUCUCAAAGAGUCGAGUUGUUUGGGAAUGCAGCUCAAAAUGGGUGGUAAAUUCCAUCUAAAGCUAAAUAUUGGCGAGAGACCGAUAGCGAACAAGUACCGUGAGGGAAAGAUGAAAAGAACUUUGGAAAGAGAGUUAAACAGUACGUGAAAUUGCUGAAAGGGAAACGCUUGAAGUCAGUCGCAUUGUGUGGGAAUCAACCUUGCUUUUGCUGGGCGUAUUUUCCAUAUGAUGGGUCAGCAUCAAUUUUGACCGUUGGAUAAAGUUCAAGGGAAUGUGGCAUCUUCGGAUGUGUUAUAGCCCUUGGUCGUAUACAACGAUUGGGAUUGAGGAACUCAGCACGCCGAAAGGCCGGGUCUCGUACCACGUUCGUGCUUAGGAUGCUGGCAUAAUGGCUUUAAUCGACCCGUCUUGAAACACGGACCAAGGAGUCUAACAUGCCUGCGAGUAUUUGGGUGAAAAACCCGAGUGCGUAAUGAAAGUGAAAGUUGAGAUCCCUGUCAUGGGGAGCAUCGACGCCCGGACCAGACCUUUUGUGACGGAUCUGCGGUAGAGCAUGUAUGUUGGGACCCGAAAGAUGGUGAACUAUGCCUGAAUAGGGUGAAGCCAGAGGAAACUCUGGUGGAGGCUCGUAGCGAUUCUGACGUGCAAAUCGAUCGUCAAAUUUGGGUAUAGGGGCGAAAGACUAAUCGAACCAUCUAGUAGCUGGUUCCUGCCGA